AAGAACACAUUCAUCGUCGUCAAGACAACUUCACGGAAUGUUUACAUGCAACUCCAUGCAAAGUGGAAUGUUCAGUGAACUUCUCAGUCUAAUUUCAGACAUCAAAGAGAACAGCUGGAAAAUAUGAAGCUCCUGAACCUUUUGUGUUGUUUCUGCCCACCGGGUCCUGCUGAGGAGGGCGACAUGGGUGACUUGGGCAUGUCAAGGGCCCAGGAUGUGGGCAAGAAGAAACAGGUAGCCAAGCCAAGAAGCCAAGCAAGCAAGAAGAAGAUAAGGAAGGAGGCCAAGAGGCUAAAACACCAGAUGAUUGAUAUGAAGAAAAAAGAGGUCAUGAUGGAUAUGGAAACGCCUAUGGAUAUGGUCGAGGUAGCUAAGGAGGCAGCUGAUGCAGGCUCAAAGGCCCUACAUCAGCCAAAAACUCCCCCCAACCUGACUACUGGGGCUGAGGAGCCGGUGGAGAAGGUGACCCGGGAAACCACUCCGGAUCAUGGUGAGACAGAUGGGGCCAGUAGUGUAAGCUCCCCCUCCACCCCAUGUGAUCUAUUAGCCACCCUGAACUCUGUGGCCAACGCUGAUGGUGACAUAGUGGCUUUGCUGGAUCACCUGAAAGCGGCCAAUAUGACACACAUAGCUGUGCCGGGAAGACCUCAACUGCGGUAGCCUGCACCUCGCUCCAACACCAAAAAGGAGAGCCCCAUGGGGGAAAAGCCUGCCCUCCGCCAGCCCAAAGCUGGCCUUGGACUGUACACUGGACCUGAGAAGCUGAUCCCGAAAGAGACCUUGGAAGCCAUCUUGGAUCUUCCUCAGGCCGAUGGGUCCAUGGUGAAUGGUGGCCAGUGCUCUACUCCAGCAGUGGACACUCCCCAUUCAGCAGUGACAAAGGCUGUGAUUGAUCAGUUUCAGUUUGUCAACUGACACUGCAGAUGACUCAGGAUCUGGUGAUUCACUGUGCUUGUUCAGGAAGAUGAGCAAAGAGGACUGUGACCAAAGCCAGUCAGACCUCAACAAAGACAGAGUGCAGCUGGCUGAGGACGGCAGCGAGAGGUGCCCAUCUCCAGAGCUCUGUGAACAUCAGGUCCUGCAGCAGCCAGAGAUGGGAUUGACUGCCGCUGUUACUGGAGAGAUGUCAGCUGGAGGAGGAGAGGAGGAUGAAGCUGAGGAGCAGGCCUAAUGCCCAGGCCUGAGAGACAUCCAACUUAACACACACACGCACGCAGUGCCAGACUACAACGAUUUCUCAGUUCGAAACAACAUAGUUGCAGUCCUACUUUAAGUUAGUAUUUUUCAUGAAUAAA